UCUCUCUGAAUCUGCGAACGGCUCCGCAAACCAGUUGUAAACCAUAGCAAGCAAGCCCGUGUCCCGCCUCACGGCGGGGUGCGGGUUAAUAAGGAUAACCGUGGUAAUUCUGAGGCUAAUACAAGAACGUAAGACCUGGUCGACCGGGUAACCGGGAAGCUGGGAGUUGUGUGAUUCGAUUGCAAAAAAACCACGUGAAAGGGCGCAUGACUCGACCACCAUACCAAACGGUGGGUGCUGAAACUGGGCUUGCCCAGCUUGACUUGUCCCUCUAAUUGUUUCUCGACAGGUGCUUCUGACCUAUCAACUAGAUGGCAGCGUAACGGACAUGCUAUGGUGACAACGGGUACAGAGGAUAAGGGUUCGAUCCUGGAGAGUGGGCCUGAGAGAUU
rnacentral:rRNA from 1 species